GAGCCCGCACAAGCAGUGGAGUAUGUGGUUUAAUUCGACGCAACGCGAAGAACCUUACCAGGUCUUGACAUCCAAGGAAUCCGGCGUAAUGGCUGGAGUGCCCUUCGGGGAACCUUGAGACAGGUGGUGCAUGGUUGUCGUCAGCUCGUGUCGUGAGAUGUUGGGUUAAGUCCCGCAACGAGCGCAACCCUUACGGUUAGUUGCUACGAAAGAGCACUCUAGCCGGACUGCCGUUGACAAAACGGAGGAAGGUGGGGAUGACGUCAAAUCAUCAUGCCCCUUACGACCUGGGCUACACACGUACUACAAUGGCGCAAACAAAGGGGAGCGAAGCCGCGAGGUGGAGCAAAUCUCAAAAAAGGCGCCCCAGUUCGGAUUGCAGGCUGCAACUCGCCUACAUGAAGUCGGAAUUGCUAGUAAUCGCGGAUCAGCAUGCCGCGGUGAAUACGUUCCCGGGCUUU
rnacentral:rRNA from 1 species